UACAGAGGUCCCAAGCGUUGUUCGGAUUCACUGGGCGUAAAGGGUGCGUAGGUGGCGAGGUAAGUCGGAUGUGAAAGCUCGGAGCUCAACUCCGAAAUGGCAUUGGAAACUACCUUGCUCGAGGGUCGGAGGGGGGACUGGAAUACUUGGUGUAGCAGUGAAAUGCGCAGAUAUCAGGAGGAACACCCGUAGCGAAGGCGCACAUCUGGCCCGAUACUGACGCUGAGGCGCGAAAGCUAGGGGAGCAAACGGG
rnacentral:rRNA from 1 species